GAUGAACGCUAGCGGCGGGCUUAAUACAUGCAAGUCAAGGGGUAGCAAUACACCGGCGUACGGGUGCGUAACGCGUAUGGAACCUGCCCUUAUCUGGGGGAUAAUUCGGGGAAACUCGAGCUACUACCGCAUAAGAUAGUAGAAUGGCAUCAUUCAGCUAUUAAAGAUUUAUCGGAUAAGGAUGGCAAUGCGUACGAUUAGAUAGUUGGUGGGGUAACGGAUCACCAAGUCUACGAUCUUGAGGGGCUCUGAGAGGAGAAUCCCCCACACUGGCACUGAGGUACGGGCCUGACUGCUGUGGGAGGCAGUAGUAGGGAAUAUUGGACAAUGGGCGGAAGCCUGACCCAUCCACGCCGCGUGCAGGAAGAAGGCCCUCUGGGUUGUAAACUGCUUUUGAUUGGGAAGAAAGCAUCUCAUGCGUGGGAUUUUGACGGUACCAAUCGAAUAAGCCACGGCUAACUACGUGCCAGCCGCCGCAGUAAAAC
rnacentral:rRNA from 1 species